GUGUCUUCAUCUCUUUAUGUGGUGUAUAAAAGCCAAAUAGAUGUUUGAUAAUAUUCAUUCCCAAAAAUAAAAAAUGGGUUUCUUUGUUAAGAAACCAAUGGCAAUGGUCCUCCUUUUGACUAUUUUUCUUCUGAUAUCUUAUGCGUAUGCGCAGGGUGGUUAUUCCGGGGACCCCACUUAUGAGCCGGCACCUGAUUAUCCUGGAAGUGGAAGUGGUGAUCAGUAUCCUCCGCCCCCGUAAUUAUAUCGAUGUGCAAUUCUCUUUGUAUUCUGCAAAUUCGAAGACGUCUUAUAACUAAUGAGUAUUGAUCUUAUGAUCAAUACUCAUUAGUUGAUCAUCAGAUUCAUAACAACCUUUAUAUAUUUAUUAUAUGUCAUAUGUGACAGCAUUCAUAUUAUUAUAUAUAAAUGAAAAUGACCAUGCAUUCAGAUUUA